GUGUCAGCCGCCGCGGUAAUACGGAGGGUGCGAGCGUUAAUCGGAAUUACUGGGCGUAAAGGGCGCGUAGGCGGUCGCGCAAGUCGGGUGUGAAAGCCCCGGGCUCAACCUGGGAAUUGCAUUCGAUACUGCGUAACUAGAGUCUGGUAGAGGGAAGCGGAAUUCCGCGUGUAGCGGUGAAAUGCGUAGAUAUGCGGAGGAACACCAGUGGCGAAGGCGGCUUCCUGGACCAAGACUGACGCUGAGGCGCGAAAGCGUGGGGAGCAAACAGGAUUAGAUACCCUGGUAGUCCGCGCCCUAAACGAUGAGGACUAGACGUUGGGGGGAUAAAACCCUUUAGUGUCGCAGCUAACGCGUGAAGUCCUCCGCCUGGGGAGUACGGCCGCAAGGUUGAAACUCAAAUGAAUUGACGG
rnacentral:rRNA from 1 species